CAUUUUUCGAUUUCACGAGUCACGAAAAACAAAAUUCCAUUUUCACGAUUUUUAGAAACACAGAAGCGUAACAAAGUCUGAAACCAUCUAACACAUACUGACUUUAAUAUUAGAGCCGUUUAAAGGACAAUGGAAAUCAUUGCGAGGCAUUACGAGCAUCGUACGAUGGUUCACGAAUUUUACGAAGAGGUACGAAGGUAUACGAUAACGACGUUUACCGAUGAAACGAA